AUUGAACGCUGGCGGCAGGCCUAACACAUGCAAGUAGAGCGGAGCGGCGGACGGGUGAGUAAUGCCUAGGAAUCUGCCUGGUAGUGGGGGCUAACGUCCGGAAACGGGCGCUAAUCCCGCAUCCUAUACGCUGAGCCUAGGUCGGAUUAGCUAGUGGGUGGGGUAAAGGCCUACCAAGGCGACGAACCGUAACUGGGCUGAGAGGAUGAUCAGUAAAACUGGAACGGAGACACGGUCCAGACUCCUACGGGAGGCAGAAGUGGGGAAUAUUGGAAAAGGGGCGAAAGCCUGAUCCAGCCAUGCCGCGGGUGUGAAGAAGGUCUUGGGAUUGUAAAGCACUUUAAGUUGGGAGGCGGUACCAACAGAAUAAGCACCGGCUAACUUCGUGCCAGCAGCCGCGGUAAUUC
rnacentral:rRNA from 1 species